rnacentral:lncRNA from 1 species
GCUGAGCAGAGUUUCUAUCCAGUCUAUGACUGGGUAGGAGGGAGGAGUUUGGUGGGAGUCUUAAUAAAAUAUUGAAUAGAGAUACUGGGAGUGAUUAACUGUGUCAGAAUCACGAAGUUCUAGUGCUUUUCAGAUGAAUCCUGGAGACAUUAUGUUGCUGUUUUAAAAGACAGAAGGACCUAGAUCCAUCAUGGAGUGCCACAGCAGGGUUGUGGCCAAUGGUCCUUCCUGCCUAGGGAGAAUCCACAAAUGGUAUCUAGGAAGACCUGCUGCUGACCAGACCAAGGCCACUUCAGUGCAUGACAUCUUCUUGGACUCAUCAACCUUGACCUCAAUGGUCAGAGAUCUCUCUACUAGUAAUUCUAAUUGUUGGCAACAAAAAUGAAGAGAGCAAAAUAGGGAAUGCUCUCUAUUCUGG